ensembl:lncRNA
AGAUGAAACUGUCCGCGGCCAGAAUUGUUCUAUCUGGCUCUCACAUGCCGGGAGCAUUCAUCAUGACCUGCAGCAUCCACUCCUCCCUGGUGGUCCCCUCUGGAGCUGCCCUGACAGCAUCUCAGAGAACACCUGUCUCCAAGCAAAUAGAGCAGCAGGAGCAGUGUGAAUCCUCUUCCCUUCUCAUUUUAAUGAGGUGUUAAUAUCAGAGGCUGAUAGAGAUUAUGUAAGUGCUAACAUUGCUAAGGAAAACCGUGG